rnacentral:rRNA from 1 species
CAGUAGCCACGGUAAUACGAGGGGGGCAAGCGUUGUUCGGAUUUAUUGGGCGUAAAGGGUGCGUAGGCGGUUUGGCAAGUCUUGUGUGAAAUCUUCGGGCUCAACCCGAAGCCUGCACGAGAAACUACCGGGCUUGAGUAUUGGAGAGGUGAGUGGAAUUUCCGGUGUAGCGGUGAAAUGCGUAGAUAUCGGAAGGAACACCUGUGGCGAAAGCGGCUCACUGGACAAUAACUGACGCUGAUGCACGAAAGCUAGGGGAGCAAACAGGAUUAGAUACCCCCGUAGUCCCUGUCUCUUAUAC